rnacentral:misc_RNA from 1 species
GAUGAAGAACGCAGCGAAAUGCGAUACGUAAUGUGAAUUGCAGAAUUCAGUGAAUCAUCGAGUCUUUGAACGCACAUUGCGCCCCCUGGUAUUCCGGGGGGCAUGCCUGUCCGAGCGUCAUUGCUGCCCUCAAGCACGGCUUGUGUGUUGGGCCUCCGUCCUCCUCCCGGGGGACGGGCCCGAAAGGCAGCGGCGGCACCGCGUCCGGUCCUCGAGCGUAUGGGGCUUCGUCACCCGCUCUUGUAGGCCCGGCCGGCGCUUGCCGACACAUCAAUCUUUUUUCCAGGUUGACCUCGCAUCAGGUAGGGAUACCCGCUGAACUUAAGCAUAUCAAUAAGCGGAGGA